rnacentral:rRNA from 1 species
UUAAGAAUCUUGCGCAAUGGGCGCAAGCCUGACGCAGCGACGCCGCGUGCGCGAUGAAGGCCUUCGGGUUGUAAAGCGCAAUAGACAGGGAAGAAGAAAGUGACGGUACCUGUUGAAAGCACCGGCUAACUACGUGCCAGCAGCCGCGGUAAUACGUAUGGUGCAAGCGUUGUUCGGAUUUACUGGGCGUAAAGAGUGCGCGGGCGGAUCAUUAAGUCAGGUGUGAAAACUUCGGGCUCAACCCGAAGACUGCACUUGAAACUAAUAAUCUCGAGUCUCGGAGAGGCAGGCAGAAUUCCUGGUGUAGCGGUGAAAUGCGUAGAUAUCAGGAGGAAUACCAAUGGCGAAGGCAGCCUGCUGGACGAUGACUGACGCUGAGGCACGAAAGCGUGGGGAGCAAACAGG